GUGCAGGUCGCGCAUGAUGGGGUCUCCGGCGGCGCGGUGGUACACCACCCCGCCGUUGCUCACGAACGUCUGGUCGUUCUGCCAGUAGCCGCCGGGCAUGCUGAGGCCGAGCAGGAAGCUGAGCGCCGUGAUCAGCGUGGCCACCACGAUCAGCGUGCUGUGGUCGUUGCCCGCCCAGCCGCCGUCCCUGUCCGGCGCGGCCCCGCCGAGCUGCUGCCGCCGCACAGGCAGGCCCGUGGCGACGAGGCCCGCCUCCAUGUUGCCCGGGGUCGGCGGUGCGCUUGGGUACAUGGUCGGGUACUGUUGCUGGUCCAUGGGCGCUAUCGAUCGAGCGAGGAGCUAACGGCAAAUUUGUUGGAUGAGCUGGUUUUCCUUGCUGCAGGGAU
rnacentral:misc_RNA from 1 species